UACGAAGGGGGGCUAGCGUUGCUCGGAAUGACUGGGCGUAAAGGGCGCGUAGGCGGUUCGUACAGUCAGACGUGAAAUUCCUGGGCUCAACCUGGGGGCUGCGUUUGAUACGUGCGGACUUGAGUGCGGAAGAGGGUCGUGGAAUUCCCAGUGUAGAGGUGAAAUUCGUAGAUAUUGGGAAGAACACCGGUGGCGAAGGCGGCGACCUGGUCCGAUACUGACGCUGAGGCGCGAAAGCGUGGGGAGCAAACAGG
rnacentral:rRNA from 1 species